UACGUAGGGCGCAAGCGUUGUCCGGAAUUAUUGGGCGUAAAGAGCUCGUAGGCGGCUUGUCGCGUCGGUUGUGAAAGCCCGGGGCUUAACCCCGGGUCUGCAGUCGAUACGGGCAGGCUAGAGUUCGGUAGGGGAGAUCGGAAUCCUGGUUGUAGCGGUGAAAUGCGCAGAUAUCAGGAGGAACACCGGUGGCGAAGGCGGAUCUCUGGGCCGAUACUGACGCUGAGGAGCGAAAGCGUGGGGAGCGAACAGG
rnacentral:rRNA from 1 species